AGUGAACGCUGGCGGUAGGCCUAACACAUGCAAGUCGAACGGCAGCACAGUAAGAGCUUGCUCUUACGGGUGGCGAGUGGCGGACGGGUGAGGAAUACAUCGGAAUCUACUUUUUCGUGGGGGAUAACGUAGGGAACCUUACGCUAAUACCGCAUACGACCUACGGGUGAAAGCAAGGGAUCUUCGGACCUUGCGCGAUUGAAUGAGCCGAUGUCGGAUUAGCUAGUUGGCGGGGUAAAGGCCCACCAAGGCGACGAUCCGUAGCUGGUCUGAGAGGAUGAUCAGCCACACUGGAACUGAGACACGGUCCAGACUCCUACGGGAGGCAGCAGUGGGGAAUAUUGGACAAUGGGCGCAAGCCUGAUCCAGCCAUACCGCGUGGGUGAAGAAGGCCUUCGGGUUGUAAAGCCCUUUUGUUGGGAAAGAAAAGCAGCAGGUUAAUACCCCGCUGUUCUGACGGUACCCAAAGAAUAAGCACCGGCUAACUUCGUG
rnacentral:rRNA from 1 species